rnacentral:misc_RNA from 1 species
UUUUUUUUUUUUUUCUUUCUAAUUUAUUUAUUAGUUUGAAAAAGUAUGCCUCCAGUGUUUCUUGAGAAAUUGCAGUCAUGGAAGGAAAGGAACUUAAGGUUUGCUGUGGCUUAAGUGUGAAAUUGGUCAAAAUAUUCAGAGUGGUUUGCACUGGAGAUUGUCAACUUCUGGUCUUCCCAUUAAAGAUGUUGAGAGAAUCUCUUGGUCUCGCCUAUGUUUCCGUGUCUCAUUGAAUUAAUGGCGACUGAUGCAUGUGUUGCCAUAUGCUAUUGAUGAAGUACAUAAUUAUUUCCAUCUUACUUUGGAAUCUGGAUAUGGUUUUUUUUUCUUUAUUUUGAUCCAUGCAUAUCACACUUAUCACUAUGUUAAAGAUGUGGAGUGAGGCUGUGUACGACUGCAAGCCCCUUGGACAUGCAACCAAUCUAUCAUAAUAGCUAGGAGAAAUUCCUGCACUCAACAACAUGGAAAGCUUUACUGAUGCUUUAAACCUCUUGAAGUUGCACAAUGGGCAUGGUUUGGUACCUUACUUUUUCGAACUUUCUAACUUUUUUGUAUUUUCUCAGUGUUUAUCUCUAUGAAAAAUACAAGUCCCAUAACUUUCAAUUGAUUGUCCAAAAUUCGUAAGAUUGAGCUCUUUCCUUAUUCGCAUAGUCUCAUACUCACGUCAACACAAGCUAGACUUCGCUUUUUCAUAAUGCCAGAAACAUGUUUUGAUCAAGUAUCUCCCAAUGAUCACUGUCGAUUCACCAUCCUUCAAGGACUUGUCUUUGCAUACACAAUAUCCACCAUACAUCUGAUCACAAUCAAAUUCAAGUGUAACACGGAUAUGAAAGUGACUGGUAUGGUUGUACAAUACUAGGCUAGAAGGUUCCUCAGCCGCCACGAGUUUGCUACCCAUUUUCCCUCUCAUUUGACCUUGUAAAGAAAUGUGUAUUGUAUAUGACUGACAUCUUACAGUAAGAUUGUACUUAUAGUAUUUUUACUGAUAUUCUGUAUGUUGGCCCAGAUGUUUGUUUGUUAAUUUUCAACACCUGCUUUUAAUAGAAGGAUCAAUUAAAAGCAUCUAAGAGACUAAGACCAGGGAUAAGAUAGAUGAAUCUGGUGGUCCGAGAAACAAACUGAGACAACCUUUAAAGUAUAUAUCUCAUUUUUUUAACAAGUACAUAGCCGUAAAUUGAACUGGCACCAAAAAAACAAAUUGGAGGCUCAUUUACUCCAUUUUACUUUUAUCUAUAAUUUUCUCCUUGGUCUCUGCUGCAUUUUUUUUUAUCAGAAAUCUUUUUUAAUUUUUUUGAGUGCACUGUGUAUUCAUAUCACCUUGAAAAAUGUAUAAAGCUUUAGACUUAUUCUUAAACCCAUAAUUUUGGUUUAGACUGUUGUAGUUGGCAUGCAAUUAAAUGACCUGUGAUUUUGUUAAGCAUAUACUUGCUCAUGGUAGCUUGUGCAGUCAAUUCAACUAUGCCUUAAUCCCUAACUAUUUGAUGUCACAGCAGCUUGUAUAGUUGGAUUGAUUAGUUUUGUAGUUUCAAUUCCUAGCACAAGCAGUGCUCCACUUGCAUCUUCAACAAAAGCAAUGCCAUGUUUAGAAAUUUUGUUAUCUCCUGCACUUGUUUCAUUAUCUGAAUACCCUGUGAUGGAAUCCUUAUUUAUUCCUGUGUUGCAGCUAUAACAUAAACUGGAACUAUGG